rnacentral:rRNA from 1 species
UACGAAGGGGGCUAGCGUUGCUCGGAAUCACUGGGCGUAAAGGGUGCGUAGGCGGCGCGGUGAGUCGGGUGUGAAAUCUCGGAGCUUAACUCCGAAACUGCAUUCGAUACUGCCGUGCUUGAGGACUGGAGAGGAGACUGGAAUUUACGGUGUAGCGGUGAAAUGCGUAGAUAUCGUAAGGAAGACCAGUGGCGAAGGCGGGUCUCUGGACAGUUCCUGACGCUGAGGCACGAAGGUCAGGGGAGCAAACGGG